rnacentral:rRNA from 1 species
UACGGGGGGUGCGAGCGUUGUCCGGAAUCACUGGGCGUAAAGGGCGCGUAGGUGGCAUGAUAAGGGGGUGGUGAAAGCCCGGGGCUCAACCCCGGGUCUGCCAUGCCGACUGUCACGCUAGAGUACUGUAGGGGCAGGCGGAAUUCCGGGUGUAGCGGUGGAAUGCGUAGAGAUCCGGAGGAACACCGGUGGCGAAGGCGGAUCUCUGGGCCAUUACUGACGCUGAGGAGCGAAAGCGUGGGGAGCGAACAGG